AACGAUAUAUUUUAUUGAGAAUAUUGGGUUUGCGUCUCAGGGGUGGAUGUUUUCCUUUCGUUA
rnacentral:tRNA from 1 species